rnacentral:lncRNA from 1 species
GGGGCAUGCUCAUGGGUUAAAUUCACUUGUUUGAUUUUCCUUUUUUGGGGGGCCGCAUUCGAGAGACAUGGAAGGUCCCUGGGCCAGGGAUUGAAUCAGAGCCGCAUGGGCGACCUACGCCACAGCUGAGGUAACACGGGACCCUUAACCCACUGCAGCACAGCGGGAACUCCCUGCUGCACGUCUCUGAGCCACACUGUCUUCCUUGAGGAGGCGCUGCUGAGGGUGACGGAGACCCCCCUACUGGAGGUGCCACUGAGGUGUGGCAGGGAGGGGGCAUCCAUCCAUCUGUCCCCAGGCCUCGGACCCUGGUGCCUGAGAGACACGGAUGCUGCAAGACUCCAUCUCCAGCACCACCACUGCUGCGCUCAGACCCUGGGGCUCUGUCAGGAGUCUGCCCUGCACGGCUUUUAUCAAAACAUCCAAAACUAGGCCAGAGACAAGGCCAGGGAACCUGCAGCCCUCGGGCCACUCCAGGCCGCCUACCAGGUUCCGGCAGAGCUGCCGGGCGGGACGUGGACCCCGCGGGCACUUUCGAGCCUCUGCACCCCAGCGUCCCUUCUGCUGCCGAAAGAGUUCUCCACAGAGCGCUGCUGGAGUCCGGGAGCCUGGAGUCCGUGAACCUGGACGAGAAAACAGUCACAUCCAUAUCGGCACCAACUAAAUUCAGCAUCGCCCUGCCUUGUGAAUGUGAGCAGCAAAACCCAGUGAGGUCUGUGGUUUUGCCACCAAUGUUAUCAACCACAAACCCCACUGGGUUUCCGAGCGUCCUACCUUUAUUGCAGAAAUUUCAGGACGGCAUUUGGACUCAAAUCACGGUAGUUCUUAAAUCCGCUACUAGAUAUUCUUUUAAAUGUGCUAGGAAGAAGUAGGAGUUCCCCGGUGGCCUAGCUGGUUAGGAAUCCUGCAUUAUCACUGCUGUAGCUGGGUUAGAUUCCUGGCCUGGGAGUGUCUGCAGGCUGCUGGCCAAAAAAAAAAAGAAGAAGAAGGAGAAAAGGAAGAGGAAGAGGAAGAAAAGAAGAAGAGGCAUGUAUAUUAAACAAUAGUUUGACAAAUUUCAGUGCAUUUGGCUUCCUUUAUAAUCCUACGUAUUUUGCUAUUUUGCAUUGUGCAUUUAAAAACAUGAUCCUGGAGUUCCCGUNUUAAUUUUUUUUUUUUUUUUUUUUGGCUGUGCCCAAGGCAGGUGGAAGUUCCCCAGCCAGGGACUGAAUCUGAGCCACGACAGUGACCCAAGCCACCG